rnacentral:rRNA from 1 species
GUGGGGAAUAUUGGACAAUGGGGGAAACCCUGAUCCAGCAAUGCCGCGUGUGUGAAGAAGGCCUUAGGGUUGUAAAGCACUUUCACCCGUGAAGAUGAUGACGGUAGCGGGAGAAGAAGCCCCGGCUAACUCCGUGCCAGCAGCCGCGGUAAUACGGAGGGGGCUAGCGUUGUUCGGAUUUACUGGGCGUAAAGCGCGCGUAGGCGGCCGGCACAGUUAGGCGUGAAAGGCCUGGGCUCAACCCAGGAACUGCGUUUAAUACUGGCUGGCUAGAGGCCGGAAGAGGGUAGUGGAAUUCCCAGUGUAGAGGUGAAAUUCGUAGAUAUUGGGAAGAACACCAGUGGCGAAGGCGGCUACCUGGUCCGGUUCUGACGCUGAGGUGCGAAAGCGUGGGGAGCAAACAGGAUUAGAUACCCCGGUAGUCC